GUGUCAGCAGCCGCGGUAAUACGUAGGGGGCAAGCGUUGUCCGGAAUCAUUGGGCGUAAAGCGCGCGUAGGCGGCCCGGUAAGUCCGCUCUGAAAGUCCAAGGCUCAACCUUGGAAUGCGGGUGGAUACUGCCGGGCUAGAGUCCGGAAGAGGCGAGUGGAAUUCCUGGUGUAGCGGUGGAAUGCGCAGAUAUCAGGAGGAACACCCAUAGCGAAGGCAGCUCGCUGGGACGGUACUGACGCUAAGGCGCGAAAGCGUGGGGAGCGAACAGGAUUAGAUACCCUCGUAGUCC
rnacentral:rRNA from 1 species